GGUUGUCGUCAGCUCGUGUCGUGAGAUGUUGGGUUAAGUCCCGCAACGAGCGCAACCCUUAAGCUUAGUUGCCAUCAUUAAGUUGGGCACUCUAAGUUGACUGCCGGUGACAAACCGGAGGAAGGUGGGGAUGACGUCAAAUCAUCAUGCCCCUUAUGAUUUGGGCUACACACGUGCUACAAUGGACAAUACAAAGGGCAGCGAAACCGCGAGGUCAAGCAAAUCCCAUAAAGUUGUUCUCAGUUCGGAUUGUAGUCUGCAACUCGACUACAUGAAGCUGGAAUCGCUAGUAAUCGUAGAUCAGCAUGCUACGGUGAAUACGUUCCCGGGUCUUGUACACACCGCCCGUCACACCACGAGAGUUUGUAACACCCGAAGCCGGUGGAGUAACCUUUUAGGAGCUAGCCGUCGAAGGUGGGACAAAUGAUUGGGGUGAAGUCGUAACAAGGUAGCCGUAUCGGAAGGUGCGGCUGGAUCACCUCCUUU
rnacentral:rRNA from 1 species